AAGUUUACCAUAGAUGGUUAAAGUCCAGUCAUUUUUAAAAAAAUUAUAUAUAAAUAGUUGAGUAAAACCUAUUGGUUUGAAGAGAGUGGAACCAACCUCUAAGGCUAAAUAUUGUAAAGGAGCGAUAGUGAACCAGUAACGUAAGUGAAAGUUGAAAAGAGUGCAAAGGCACAGUGAAAUAGAUUCUGAAAUCGGAAAUAGUAAAGCAUGUGAAGUUAAAUAAAACAACACAUUACCUUUUGUAUAAUGGAUUUGCGAGUACUAAAUUUAUGCAUGAUUAAAGUCAUAGUGAAAACGAGUCUUAAUAGGGCGUUAGUAUAUGUUUAGUGGACCCGAAACCAAGUGAUCUAUUUAUGAGCAGAUUGAAGCUAAAUUAAUCUUUAGUGGAGGAUCGAACCAGUGUCUGUUGCAAUAGACUUGGAUGACUUGUGAAUAGCGGUGAAAUGCCAAUCGAACUUGGAUAUAGCUGGUUAUCUUCGAAAAGUAUUUAGGUACUGUGUAUUAAUAUAUAAUCUUUUAGCGGUAGAGCACUAAUUUGAUACUUGGCUUCUCACUGAGUUGUACUUUAUCAAUUUAAACUUCAAAUGCUUAAAGUUAAUUAAUGCAAACAGUCUUAGAGGGUAAGCUUCUAGGACAAGAGGGAAACAACCCAGAUCUAAAGUUAAGGUCAUAGAAUUCAUUUAAGUGUGAAAAGAAUAAUUUAAACAAAGACAUCUAGUAAGUAGGCUUGGAAACAGCCACCUUCUAAGAAUCACGUAACAGU
rnacentral:rRNA from 11 species